UCUUUCACUCUACGCUUUGUCACUCACACCUUGACUCUUGCCUCAUGCCCCGAUCCCCUUUCUCCUUUCCUUGUUCUAUCCGUUCACUCCAAAAUUAUUGCCACUGAAUCAGGUCCGGCUGGUACCACUGGUAAUUUUUAAUCUCCCAUCAGUUUGCUCCGUUGACUUGUGCCUGCUAGUCCGCAGCUGGACUCGCCAGUGCGGCAACAUGGUGACCGUCGUUGACGGCUGGUUUGGCUCGUACGCCUCCUCUGUGUCCUCGGCUUGUAAGCGGCAAUGGAUGUAUAGCAGGGCCCGAGUAGCAGCUCCAAGGGAGGAGGCGAGAUCGUUGAUCUGCACGGUGUCGUCGCUGUCAGCAUCCGUGUAGGGGAUGCUUGGGCGUGGAUCUCUACUCCCACAGCCAGCAUGCAGCUUUUGUAUGAGGAUAUUUGGGCCGUUGUCUUCCUCAAUCCUGCAAGCCAGACUUCGUCGCUGUUCCCACUCGAGGAAGCCUGACAUGUCGUCUCUUCCUCCACAGCGACAACAUCCUUCUACCUACAGGUCUCCUUUUUCCCUUUUCAUUUCUACAUAUCAUUUUUUUUUGCUUAGCCUUUUCCUGUGUGUGUACGAUUGUACCAAUAUAAUGUAAUUAAAAUACUAUAUGUUAGUGAAAAAUGUUAAUUUUCUUCUGUCCCCUCCACUUUUUCUGUGCUUCCGUCUCGACAGUGUUAGGUCCCUUGCCCCCAUUCAUACUCGACAAAUUUAAGUACUAAUUAGUGUAUUUGUGAGUAGCUAUAGUUUAAUAUUUCCCAAACACAAUGUGUUUCAAUAAUUGAGCAGUAAAAAAGGUUUAUACAAAUUUUAAUGAUACAUGGAUGCCCUGAUUAUUGGGUUGUACUACAAAUUAAGCCACAAAUAUCAGAAAGUAUAGAGUGCCCAUAUUUGAUAUUGAUAGCCCUGGUAAUAAAUGCUUAGUAAAUUGGAUUUAGAUUUACACAAAAAGAUUAAAGUUCUGACUAUUGAAUUUCUGUCCAAACUCGAAGUGACAACCACUAUCGUUUGCUUGUGCAAAAGUUCUUCAUUCACCAUAUUUGAUAAAAUAUCCCCGCAUAGCAUGAUCCCUGAUAUUGUCGUUGCUGUAAGAAUUUAAGCAUGAAAAAGUGACUUAAGGAUCAUCUAUGUAGUCUAAAAUUGACGUAGUUAUAUAAAUUACUUUCAGUCUCAUGGAUGUUUUGACAUCUGCACCGAAUCAUGUUCAUAAAUCUUUUCAACUAUACUUGUCCUUUGAUAUGGAUUUUGUACAUACCUGACCAUUGUUUCUCAAUAUUUACUCUACUUUCUAAUGUAUCACUAUCAGCAAAUUCAAAGUAGUAGUCGAAAAAUUAAUUUUACCUUUCCCUUUAGAAUGUAUAGGCUAUUUCAUCCUUUUUUCGUAUUUCUGAUUUAAUUGUGUAAUAGAAAACUUCAUUAAAGCUAAAAAUAAUCAGUAAUUAGUAACUAAGUUUAAUUUACUUUUUCCAGAAUACAUAUUUUAUCUGGUUCACUGACAUCAUAACAAAUCGAUUUUGAUCAAAGAGAAACAUUUACCUGAAAACGAUCAGAGUAUUGCGAAUGAUGCAACAACAACAAAAUUAUAUGAAUUCUAAUGUUGGAAGGAAAAAUAAGGGCUAGCAUGUAACAUGAGUUUUCUUUGGUAUGGUCAUCGUCAUUCUCUAGUACCUCCACCAUCUAGAGCUCAGCACCCAAUAUAAGUUUUUUGAAAGGUAAUUUGUCAGAUAAAAUAAAACGACAACACGUACUAAUAUAGGUAGUUAAUUCACUAUGAAGAGAACACAUUAUUGCUUUGUCCACACACAAAGCUUUCUGGUAGUUGAAUUAGUGAACGUACCUAACUUCCAUAAUUUGUGCAAAAUUAUGUCUGCUUUGCUUAAACAAUUUAGAAAAAUAGCUUUUCUGAUCAAGCUCUCUGUUCUAUGUACAGCAACAGUCCUGGCCUGUCUUCUAGUCUGGCAUGACCUCUUGAUAGUUUUUCUGAUCAAGAUUUUUUUUCUCAUGUAUAGUAAGAGCGGUAAACUACUUAUACAAUGAUUCAUUUGGUUUCAAAUCGUAAGGUGCACAUAUGCUAUUUAUCCAGUUUUUGACCCAAAUCUGAUAGGAUAUAUGAGACCAUCUUAUUCUGUGAUAUUUGUUGUUCCUACUUAUACUCUAAAUUUGCAUUCUCUUGUAAAGUUCAGUACAUUUGCCUUAUAGAGGAAGGUGCAGCUCUAUCUUAAGUAUUGUCAUGAUUCACGUAACAUGGUCUUAACAUCUAAAAGUUGCUGACCUGAAGACAUCAUUUAACCAAGCUGUGUUUAUUUGUCCGUUUGGUGCCACCACUACACUGAGAAAGAUCACCUGGCCAUGGGCGGCAUUACUUUUCAUUUUAAAUUGUAUUGCUUAAGUUGCUUCCCUUGCCCACUUUAUAUAAAUAAGGAACAAAAUGCAGUCACAUUCUGUUUCCGGCUAGUGAGUGACACUUGUAACUGUAAAUUAAUACAGUAAGGAUUCAUCUAUCCAACUCCUGGUA